GUAGCCGAGUGCGCGCGCCGCGGCGUGGCCGUCGCCAACGCCGGGAAGGUCUACUCCACCGACGUGGCGGACCACGCCGUGGGCCUGCUGCUCGACGUGCAGCGGCGCGUGUCGGCGGCGGAGCGGUACGUCCGGCGCGGGUCCUGGCCGGCCCAGGGCGACUACCGGCCACUCGGCUCCAAGCUCGGCGGCAAGCGCGUCGGCAUCAUCGGCCUGGGCAACAUCGGCUCGCUCGUCGCGAGGAGGCUCGAAGCCUUCGGCUGCGUCAUCCUGUACAACUCGAGGAGGCGCAAGGAGGAGGGCUCGGCCCGCCGCUACACCUACUUCCCGGACGUCCGGGGCCUCGCCGCCGCGUCCGACGUGCUCGUCGUUGCCUGCGCGCUGAACGAGGAGACGAGGCACGUCGUGGGCAGGGAGGUGCUGGAGGCCCUGGGGAAGGACGGCGUGCUCAUCAACGUCGGCCGAGGAGCGAACGUCGACGAGGCGGCGCUGGUGGCGGCGCUCAAGGAGGGGAGGAUCGCCGGUGCCGGCCUCGACGUCUUCGAGGACGAGCCGAAGGUGCCGGCGGAGCUCCUGCCCAUGGACAAUGUGGUGCUGACCCCUCACGUGGCGGUUCUGACGCAGGAGUCCAGGUCGGACCUGCGCGCGCAGACCAUCGGCAACCUCCAGGCCUUCUUCUCCGGCCAGCCAUUGCUCACUCCCGUGCCCUGCCAUCGUGCCUAG
rnacentral:rRNA from 1 species